rnacentral:rRNA from 1 species
UAGGGAAUCUUCGGCAAUGGACGAAAGUCUGACCGAGCAACGCCGCGUGAGUGAAGAAGGUUUUCGGAUCGUAAAACUCUGUUGUUAGAGAAGAACAAGGACGUUAGUAACUGAACGUCCCCUGACGGUAUCUAACCAGAAAGCCACGGCUAACUACGUGCCAGCAGCCGCGGUAAUACGUAGGUGGCAAGCGUUGUCCGGAUUUAUUGGGCGUAAAGCGAGCGCAGGCGGUUUCUUAAGUCUGAUGUGAAAGCCCCCGGCUCAACCGGGGAGGGUAAUUGGAGACUGGGAGACUUGAGUGCAGAAGAGGAGAGUGGAAUUCCAUGUGUAGCGGUGAAAUGCGUAGAUAUAUGGAGGAACACCAGUGGCGAAGGCGGCUCUCUGGUCUGUAACUGACGCUGAGGCUCGAAAGCGUGGGGAGCAAACAGG